AACAGCAGAAGACAGGAAACAGCAGAAACUGUCAAAUACAUUCCUAAAAAAUCAGCCAAACAGGCCAAUAAGACGGGGGGAAAAAAGUAGGAGUAAUAUCAAUGGCUCAAGUUGAUGUAGAUCUCAAGGCAUUUUGAGAGGUUUUGACCUGAGGAAUAAUUUUGUAAGACAGGUGUUUGUUUAGCCUGUAGGAAACCUGAGACCUCCAGAGUGCUGUCAAGCAGAGUCAGAUUUAAAGUGAAGCUCUGACUGCACUGGCACACAAGUUUAACAGAAGGUCGUACACAUGCUGUAUGUGGCCAAUGCUGGGAACUAAGGAAUCGAG